rnacentral:tRNA from 1 species
GCUCCUAUAGCUGAAUUGGUUAAAGCACCUGUCUCUUAAACAGGGGACUCAAGGUUCAAGUCCUUGUGGGAGCA